AUUGAACGCUGGCGGCAGGCCUAACACAUGCAAGUCGAGCGGAUGAAGCGUUCUUGCUCUUGGCUUCUGCCGCAGACGUGUGUGUCAUGCCUAUGAACCUCCCUCGUCGUUGGGGUUAACCUCCGGAACCGGUCCCUAAUACCGCUUACUUCCUGUGCUACAAAGUGGGGGUUCUUCGGACCUCACGCUUUCAGAUGAGCCUAGGUCGUAUUAGCUAGUUGGCGGGGUAAAGGCCUACCAAGGCGACGAUCCGUAACUGGUCUGAGAGGAUGAUCAGUCACACUGGGACUGAGACACGGUACAGACACCGAGAGGAGGCAGAAGUGGGGAAUGGUGGAAGAAGGGCGGAAUACUGAACAAGGCAUGCAGGGUGUGUGAAGAAGGGCUUCGGAUUGGAAAGCACUUUAAGUGGGGAGGAAGGGCAGUAAGAUAAUACCUGGUUGCUUUGACGUUACCAACAGAAUAAGCACCGGCUAACUUCGUG
rnacentral:rRNA from 1 species